GACGAACGCUGGCGGCGUGCUUAACACAUGCAAGUCGAACGGUGAAGCGCCUUCCUUUUUGGUGGGUGUGGAUGAGUGGCGAACGGGUGAGUAACACGUGAGUAACCUGCCCCCUUCUUCUGGAUAACCGCAUGAAAGUGUGGCUAAUACGGGAUAUUCUGGGUCUGUCGCAUGAUGGGUCUGGGAAAGAUAUUGUUUCGGUGGGGGAUGGGCUCGCGGCCUAUCAGCUUGUUGGUGGGGUGAUGGCCUACCAAGGCGGUGACGGGUAGCCGGCCUGGGAGGGUGGACGGUCACACUGGGACUGAGACACGGCCCAGACUCCUACGGGAGGCAGCAGUGGGGAAUAUUGCACAAUGGGCGCAAGCCUGAUGCAGCGACGCCGCGUGAGGGAUGGAGGCCUUCGGGUUGUGAACCUCUUUCGCCAGUGAAGCAGGCCUGCCUCGUUUGUGGGUGGGUUGACAGUAGCUGGAUAAGAAGCGCCGGCUAACUACGUG
rnacentral:rRNA from 1 species